CCUACGGGAGGCAGCAGUGGGGAAUUUUGGACAAUGGGCGCAAGCCUGAUCCAGCAAUGCCGCGUGAGUGAAGAAGGCCUUCGGGUUGUAAAGCUCUUUUGUCAGGGAAGAAACGGUGGGGGCUAAUAUCUCCUGCUAAUGACGGUACCUGAAGAAUAAGCACCGGCUAACUACGUGCCAGCAGCCGCGGUAAUACGUAGGGUGCAAGCGUUAAUCGGAAUUACUGGGCGUAAAGCGUGCGCAGGCGGUUUUGUAAGUUUGUCGUGAAAUCCCCGGGCUCAACCUGGGAAUGGCGAUGAAGACUGCAAGGCUAGAAUCUGGCAGAGGGGGGUAGAAUUCCACGUGUAGCAGUGAAAUGCGUAGAGAUGUGGAGGAACACCGAUGGCGAAGGCAGCCCCCUGGGUCAAGAUUGACGCUCAUGCACGAAAGCGUGGGGAGCAAACAGGAUUAGAUACCCUGGUAGUCCACGCCCUAAACGAUGUCUACUAGUUGUCGGGUUUUAAUUAACUUGGUAACGCAGCUAACGCGUGAAGUAGACCGCCUGGGGAGUACGGUCGCAAGAUUAAAACUCAAAUGAAAUUGACGG
rnacentral:rRNA from 1 species